rnacentral:rRNA from 1 species
GAUGAACGCUAGCUACAGGCUUAACACAUGCAAGUCGAGGGGAAACGACAUCGAAAGCUUGCUUUUGAUUGGCGUCGACCGGCGCACGGGUGAGUAACGCGUCUCCACCCUGCCCAUCACUUGGGGUUAACCUUGCGAAAGUAAGACUAAUACCUAAUGUUAUCUCUAGAAGUCAUCUGAAAGAGAUUAAAGUUUUAUCGGUGAUGGAUGGGGAUGCGUCUGAUUAGCUUGUUGGCGGGGUAACGGCCCACCAAGGCAACGAUCAGUAGGGGUUCUGAGAGGAAGGUCCCCCACAUUGGAACUGAGACACGGACCAAAAUCGUACGGGAGGCAGGAGUGAGGAAUAUUGGUCAAGGGGCGAGAGCCUGAAACAGCCAAGUAGCGUGCAGGAAGACGGCCAUAUGGAUUGUAAACUGCUAUUAAAAGGGAAAAAAGUGAGAGUCGGGACUCUUUUUGAAGGUACCUUAUGAAUAAGGACCGGCUAAUUCCGUG